rnacentral:rRNA from 1 species
GAUGAACGCUGGCGGCGUGCUUAACACAUGCAAGUCGAACGAGGUCCAACCUUCGGGUGAAGACCUAGUGGCGAACGGGUGAGUAACACGUGGGGAACCUGCCCUUCUCUCUGGGAUAACGUCGAGAAAUCGGUGCUAAUACCGGAUACUCCUUGCGGAUCGCAUGGUCUGCUCGGGAAAGCUCCGGCGGAGAAGGAUGGCCCCGCGGCCCAUUAGCUAGUUGGUGAGGUAAUGGCCCACCAAGGCGACGAUGGGUAGCCGAGCUGAGAGGCUGAUCGGCCACACUGGGACUGAGACACGGCCCAGACUCCUACGGGAGGCAGCAGUGGGGAAUUUUGCACAAUGGGCGAAAGCCUGAUGCAGCAACGCCGCGUGCGGGAUGAAGGCCCUCGGGUCGUAAACCGCUUUCAGCAGGGAUGAAAUUGACAGUACCUGCAGAAGAAGCCCCGGCUAACUACGUGCCAGCCGCCGCCGUAAGAC